rnacentral:rRNA from 1 species
GAAACUCAAAGGAAUUGACGGGGACCCGCACAAGUAGCGGAGCAUGUGGUUUAAUUCGAAGCAACGCGAAGAACCUUACCUAAGCGUGACAUCCCAAUGACAUCUCCUUAAUCGGAGAGUUCCCUUCAGGGACAUUGGUGACAGGUGGUGCAUGGUUGUCGUCAGCUCGUGUCGUGAGAUGUUGGGUUAAGUCCCGCAACGAGCGCAACCCUU